AAGGAAUGUCUGUGGAAUAAACCAACGACCAAAGAAGAAACGGAGUUGGUUACUAAGGAAGGAUGAGCCCAUCAGUAGAGACGGUUUUGACGUGGACAUCCCAUUAAUUGAAGACAUUAUUACUUCUGAAGACUUCCUUAAAUCUUCAAAUAAAAUAAAAUUUGUGAAACAGAAAUGUGUUAUUGAUACUGGCAAGAUUGAGGCUAUAGCUAAAAUUACUACAGGCCAAACUGACAACGAAAAAUGGUUCUUAAUCAGAAAAUGCAGGCUUACAGCUAGCCACUUUGAAGGUUCCCAGAGAGCUUGUUUAAAUCUCUUAUGAGUACUUAUUCAUUGGACGGGAUAAAAUCUAUCCAAUGGGGGAAGACUCAUGAAAGGGAUGUCUUAAAUUAUUUGAAAAAUAAUUUAAACAUCAAUGCUGUGCCAACAAGAAUUUGGAUGUCUAAAUCACGACUCUUUGGAGUUUCUAGUUCUCAGUUCUAGACACAGUUAGAGAGGUUCUUGCUAAAGACGACAAAAAAAGAGCCGGUUUGCAAUGAAAGGAUAAAUCUCGUAUGGAAAGGCCUUCAAAAUUCCCGCCCGUGAUGACGUCAUGACUUAGCUUAGAUAAUAAUCUCUGAACUGACUGGCAAUAUUGACAUAGCUGUCUGACGAUGAGCAACACUUGUCGACACGCGCUGUCGCCAAAUCUCCAAAAUUGUCGAUGCCAGCGCUCCAGAGGCGCGAGUUACACCAUCAAGUUCACACAGAACCUGCCUAGUAAGCAGCAGUUCCCACAGAAACCGCUAACUAGGUUCCGCCGUACAUAAAUUCCUGAUUAACUAUAAAACUGAGACAAUUCACUAUGUUAACGCUUUUUUCCACAAAACUCUGUCGAUGAUAGAACGUCUGUAAAGUUAUUUUAAAUAAAUUGUUU
rnacentral:lncRNA from 1 species